rnacentral:ncRNA from 1 species
CAGAGUAGAAGGCAUAGCGUAAAGUGCCGUGCGGACGGGGAGUUGCCGCACAGACGAAAAAACCGGUCGGUUUUGCGGUCAUGCCUUCGCAUCCCGCUGU